UUCAACAGGGAAUCCCACCCUCCUCAUCAUAACACUUUGUAGGAGUGUCCUGGCCAUUUCGAAGAAAUAGUGAUAAAUUCCUAACUAGGCACGUUCACAGGGUUAAUAUUUGCAUCAAUUAAAAUGACAAUAAUAAUAAUAAUAAUAAUAAUAAUAAUAAUAAUAAUAAUAAUAAUAAUAUUGCAGCUUGCCAUGUUACAGCAAAGUAAACAAAAAUAAACGUCUCCUUACAAAAACCUCACUGUAUCAAAUAGUUAUUUAACAACUAUCCAUCCAUCCAUCUAGUCUCUGUACAAUUUAUGCUACACAGGGUCACGGGGAGUCUGGAGCCCAUCCCAGGGAACCUGGGGCACGAGGCGGGGGGACACCCUGGACGGGGUGCCAACCCAUUACAGGGCACAACUGCACACACACACUCACACACCGCGGAUGAUUUAGAAAUACCAAUGGCUUUGGACUGGGGGAGGAAACCGGAGUACCCGGGGGAAACCCCCAAAGGACCGGGAGAACAUGCAGGAUUCGAACCCCCAGCCCCGGAGGUGUGAGAUGGAACUAGGGUCAGAGCCGCUGCUCUCGAUCAGACACCUUCUGAAUCACUGGCAAAGCUCAACCCCAUCAGCUGCUGGUCAUCUUGUACAAUAACACAACUAGUGACUGUACAUCAGUUGUGUAUAUCACUUGAAGAGGCUCCAAUCAGGUUCAUCAAUGUAGAAGAAACUCAAGAAUCCACCAGCUUGUCGUCUGCAGUGACCUUAUCAUGAUACACAAAGUAGCUUAGUGCUCUAGCUAUCUGUGUGCGUCUGAGGAUGGAGAAGCUACUGGACUGUCGAACUUGAAGAUGAGCGCCCCUGGCCCUACCUCAGUUCAAUGUUUCCGUGUGCUGGACUAAGCAAAACCUUGUCUAAAAUGAGACGUCUCCUUUGUGAAAGCAUGCUGAGAUUGAGUGGAGCAUCCACCAUGCAAGUCCCUGUGUAAGUUACUAUAAAAGCAAUAACACUUUUAAAAAUGAUUACAUUAAUAUAAACCUGUGAUUUGAAUUACAGCUGAGACUACUGUCCAAGCUGCUGCUAUUGAAAAUGAAUCAGCACCUUCUGACCAAUCAGAUUCAAGAAUUCAGCAGCACUGUGGUAUAAUAAUGAACUAUGUCUUGUAGUCCUUGCUAUGGCCAGGAAGCAGAAGUCAAUUCCCUGUCAUUUCUACUAACAAAGCCAGACAUCAUGAUCUCUGGAACUGAUGCUAAAAAAUUAUCAUGGUGAGUCCCUCUGUGAUCUCCCACAAUGAGUGUUUGAAUUGUUCCACUUCUUAAUUCUAUUAUUAAAGAGUUUUUAUACAUUUUAGCAAUUUCACCUUCUUUAAUAAGGAGAAUAAGGGUGAUUAUUGCAAACAGCUGAAGUGGCAUAGGAUUGGACUGAGGAAUCAUUCCAGACAAUCAUCAAACCCAAUUUUUAAACAAAUGAUAAGAUUUAGAUGUCACUAAAACGGUAACGGACAUAGAAAAUGAACUGUCUCUUGCAAGUAUGAACGUAGGAUCAUUGACAGUCAGUAAUCUUCUCUGUUAUGAUGCGUGCAGAUCUGUGUUAAGUUGUACCAGAAAUCUGACAUGUCUGUGGCUGAACUACUUUCAGACGUGAUGAUGUAGGACGUAUCUGAGCUGCAGUAUGAUGCAUGUUCCAAACUUCCUACCACUUUUAACCCAAACCCGAGCUCUGACUGUCAAUGAUCCUACGUUCAUACUUGCAAUGCAGUUCAUUUUCUAUGUCCGUUACCGUUUUAGUGACAUCUAAAUCUUCUCAUUUGUUUAAAAAUUGGGUUUGAAUGAUUGUGAUUGUCUGGAAUGAUUCCUCAGUCCAAUCCUAUGGCACGUGUGGUCCGAGGUUCCUUCUGUUCCCCACUCACAACUUUACUUUCUACUGGCAAUCAGUACACACUUACUGUUUGACACACAAUAUAAAAAAAUUUUAAAAAACUUUAUCCUGUAAUAAACGAGCUCUCAUUAUAUGUGUAUAGAAACAUUACAAAGGAAAAAUAAAGCUUGAAAGGAAGUAGCAGAGAUA